CGCUUAGAAGGAAACGGACGGAGCUGAGAAGUCGUCUGUCGGAUUCAGUUUGGCGAAGACUGCCUUCACGGUGGUUUAAGCUGAAUGCACUUCCGGCAGAUGCGCGCUACGACCGAUUUUUGCUCUGGCAAAGGCUCGACGACUGCCGGCUGGACCUUCGGGUUCAGUGUCCCAUCGUUGAUGCUAGUCCGAGUGGCGAAGAUCGUGAACCUGCCGUGCCCACGUGUCUCGAGCCGGGUUCAUUAUGGUGCGGGCCUUGACCUCCGAGUAUACUGCUUGCAGAGCUCGGUAACUGCCUGUGCGUACUUGUUCUCGUAGUCGAGCGGCACUGAAGGUCUGUAGCGUCCGUGUCAGCCACCCGUCCGACCCGUCUUGAAACACGGACCAAGGAGUCUAACAUGUGCGCAAGUCAUUGAGUUUGUAAACUCAAAGGCGAAAUGAAAGUGAAGGCCAGUUUGGCUGGCUGAAGUGAGAUCGUCGACCUUGUGUUGGUGCGCAUCACUGUCCCGUCCUGUGAGUAAUGUCUCAGGGGCGGAGAAAGAGCGUACAUGUUGGGACCCGAAAGAUGGUGAACUAUGCUUGAGCAGGAUGAAGCCAGAGGAAACUCUGGUGGAGGUCCGCAGCGGUUCUGACGYGCAAAUCG
rnacentral:rRNA from 1 species